GACGAACGCUGGCGGCGUGCUUAACACAUGCAAGUCGAACGGUGAAGCGCCUUCCUUUUUGGUGGGUGUGGAUGAGUGGCGAACGGGUGAGUAACACGUGAGUAACCUGCCCCCUUCUUCUGGAUAACCGCAUGAAAGUGUGGCUAAUACGGGAUAUUCUGGGUCUGUCGCAUGAUGGGUCUGGGAAAGAUAUUGUUUCGGUGGGGGAUGGGCUCGCGGCCUAUCAGCUUGUUGGUGGGGUGAUGGCCUACCAAGGCGGUGACGGGUAGCCGGCCUGAGAGGGUGGGCGGUCACACUGGGACUGAGACACGGCCCGGACUCCUACGGGAGGCAGCAGUGGGGAAUAUUGCACAAUGGGCGCAAGCCUGAUGCAGCGACGCCGCGUGAGGGAUGGAGGCCUUCGGGUUGUGAACCUCUUUCGCCAGUGAAGCAGGCCUGCCUCGUUUGUGGGUGGGUUGACGGUAGCUGGAUAAGAAGCGCCGGCUAACUACGUG
rnacentral:rRNA from 1 species